CAGAGGGUGCGAGCGUUAAUCGGAAUUACUGGGCGUAAAGCGCGCGUAGGCGGCUUUGCAAGUCGGGUGUGAAAUCCCCAGGCUUAACCUGGGAACUGCAUUCGAGACUGCAUUGCUAGAGUAUGGGAGAGGGAAGUGGAAUUUCCGGUGUAGCGGUGAAAUGCGUAGAUAUCGGAAGGAACAUCAGUGGCGAAAGCGACUUCCUGGACCAAUACUGACGCUCAUGUGCGAAAGCGUGGGGAGCAAACAGGAUUAGAUACCCUGGUAGUCCACGCCAUAAACGAUGAGAACUGGAUGUCGGGAAGGUCUGCCUCUCGGUGUCGUAGCUAACGCGUUAAGUUCUCCGCCUGGGGAGUACGGCCGCAAGGUUG
rnacentral:rRNA from 1 species